GUACUUUGAAUUCUACCACAUGGGACGCUCUCUGUAUAAUUGACUAAUACUGGGUAAAUACUUAUCUCCACCUGGGUUGAUCUCCUCCCUAUGUUAUCUCUCCUCUUUGUGCACCACAAAAAGUUGUGAAUUGUUUUGAAUAACUCAUGGAUGUUUACCUUGCUAUGACAUGUGCAUUGCAGAAUUUGGUGAAUAAAUAUGAUCGUAUCUGCUAUGCACAAAAUGAACAACUUCACAUGUUUGAACAGCAUACAAUUCACUGUUCAGGCUUUAAUGAUUUUGUCUUUUGCAUAGAACACAUGUGGCAUGUUCUUGCACCAAAUUUUGCAAGUUUACAUGUUAUAGCAUUGUAAGCAUUCAUGUUUUUCAAACGAUUCGCAACUUCUUUGUGUGCAAAGAGGGAGAAUAUAGGGAUGAGAUCCACCCUGGUUGAGAUAAUCCGCUUUCGCUAAUAAUGCAGCUAUAUUACAUGACUCCACGUGUUAAUUUAUUCUGAAAUUUCGGUAAUACCACUUCAAUAAUUAUAAUUUAGAAAAUGUAACCAUGGAGGCAGUCACAGUUACAAAAAGUAUGACUCCAAAAUUUUCUUUAGGCGAUAGAGUUACAUGCUAUGGUAUUAGCUUUCUGUUCUGUUUUUUUAUCAGUUCGCCCAUCAAUUUGGUUUUAGGCAAGAUUUUGUGUCUAGCAUUUUUGUUGGUGUAUGCUGCCACUAUUUACACCUCUAGGACGUGUAGUCGUAAACUAAAGGGCGCCUCCACCCCAAGUACGUGUUAUGGUUACUUCGCCACUUGUCAGCCUGGUAGCACCACACAUCGUCUGGCCCUUACAUCUUCUUUAUCGCAACUGGCUAAUUUAAGCAUGGAGUACAGAUCUGGACGGCACAGUCCUAGAUGGUGGAAUUGAAGUAAUCCUAUCAUGGACUGCCCUGAUUGUGGUUUUAUGUGUGCAGAACUUGAAAGAAGUACCUCCUGUAAUGCAACAGACGUUGCAUCCAGUAAUUAGUUGCUGCUAACAUGAACCUUAAGUUGUAGACUGCUGUUUAACUUUCCAAAUCUACAGCCUGUGCGAUAAACUGGAACAUAGUGUUGUAACUAAACCAAAUUUUGUUAGAAUCUGCAACUUAUCAGAAGUUCAAAACAUGAAAUUCAUAGCAGCAACAAAAUUUACAUAGGUUCGGCUGUUAUGCAUGAUGUGACCCUAAGAACAGGGUUUGAACUCUUGCGGUUUUAUCAUUUGGUGCGACAUUUAGACUAAUAAAGCUUCCAUUAUUGAAAAUUGGUGAGGCCCAAGAGGACCUGUUGGCUGGCGAGGAGAAAUAAUGAGGUGGCAGUAUGUGAUCCACCAUCAUAGUGAAAUUGGAAAGAGAAGUGGUGUACCAUGUACUGCAAUUAUGACCAAGGCUAUGGAACUGGAGGGCAAAGAAGCAGGCAUCUGGACAACCUGAGAUGUGAUUUUUUUUUUCUUGCCCAUAAAGCAUAGAACUGAAGUACACUAUCUUACAGAAUAAACUUUAAAUACUCAAAUAAUUUAGAACUGGAGUAUCAACCACAUUUCAAUAAUGUAAAAAAGCCAGAUAUUCCAUUCCUCAAAUAAUUACUUUA